GACGAACGCUGGCGGCGUGCUUAACACAUGCAAGUCGAACGGAAAGGCUCCAGCUUGCUGGAGUACUCGAGUGGCGAACGGGUGAGUAACACGUGGGUAAUCUGCCCUGCACUCUAGGAUAAGCCUGGGAAACUGGGUCUAAUACUGGAUAUGACCUUUCUCCUUAUGGGGUUUGGUGGAAAGUUUUUCGGUGUAGGAUGAGCCCGCGGCCUAUCAGCUUGUUGGUGGGGUGAUGGCCUACCAAGGCGACGACGGGUAGCCGGCCUGAGAGGGUGAUCGGCCACAUUGGGACUGAGAUACGGCCCAGACUCCUACGGGAGGCAGCAGUGGGGAAUAUUGCACAAUGGGCGGAAGCCUGAUGCAGCGACGCCGCGUGAGGGAUGACGGCCUUCGGGUUGUAAGCCUCUUUCAGCAGGGACGAAGCGUAAGUGACGGUACCUGCAGAAGAAGCACCGGCUAACUAUGUG
rnacentral:rRNA from 1 species